CCGCUCAUCCUCCUCGGAGAACGAGUACGACGAGGACGCCGUCGCCGAGUUGCAUGGUGCAUUCACCGCCGACGAUGGAGCCGGUGCUAAAGAAGGUCUCUGCGAUUCUUCCAGGAGCAUGGCACGGAUGCACAGGGAGGUGCAGAGGAAGCUGCAGGAGCAGAUCGAGGUAAACGAUCGAUCAGUCACCAUUCCGAAUUUAUUCUGACAGUGGAAUUCAGACUGCUAGUUCACGGAUGCCGAUCAAGCAGAGCUUAAGCUUAUUGGUUCCAUGCUCGUUCUCGGCAGGUCCAGAGGCACCUGCAGCUGAGGAUCGAGGCGCAGGGGAGGUACCUGCAGUCCGUGCUGCACCGAGCGUACGAGGUCCUCUCUGACGACCACAACCUCGGAUCGCCGACGGCCACGGAGCUCUCGGAGCUGGCCUCCGCGGUGGAGUCCGGGUGCCUG
rnacentral:lncRNA from 1 species